AUUUCUGGUUCAAUUGGAAAAAAGUAACUCUGCCAGAGUGGGUUACGUGGCUAAGUGGCUCCUUUGUAGAAAACAUAUUCAGGUCUUGAAUCAGAGUUUGCCAGUGAUAGUUUAAUCCAGAUGUUAAAAACAUUACUUUCCAGAAUUGUCAGGAAGAUCAGAGGUGAUCAUUUACCUAAGAACUGUGAAACCACACAUGUGAUUCUUACCAUGUCCUAGUUCUGGGCAGUAUAUUGCAAAUGAACAUCUCUGGCUCAUAA
rnacentral:lncRNA from 1 species